UUUGACCGGUAUGAAUGGUGUCACGAAAGUUCUUCUGUUUUAAAAAAACACUCAAGGAAAUUGAAUUUGUAGUGAAGAUGCUACAUUAAAAUUGUUAGACGAGAAGUCCCCAUGGAGCUUUACUGAAAGCCUAAAAAAAAUUUUUUAUUUAUUUAUAGGUUAGACAGUUUUGUUGGGGUGAUAGUUUUUUAAAAAGUAACGAAAACGAACUAUGACGCAUGUUUCACUCUGAAAACUUGAAGAGACAUUUGGGGUGUGUUUUAUGAUCUAUUGUUUUGAAUGAAAAAGAUAAUGAAAGCAGAUAAAAGUUACCCUGGGGAA
rnacentral:rRNA from 1 species